GGGUGCCCAGUUCAAUAUUAAUUUCAGAUAAACAGCAAGUACUUUUUAAGUUACAAUUAUGUCCCAUGCAAUAUGCAGUUUGGGACAUACUUAUACUAAAAAACUAUCCGUUGUUUAUUUGAAAUGUAUAGAGUAA
rnacentral:miRNA from 14 species